GACGUAGGGUGCGAGCGUUGUCCGGAUUUAUUGGGCGUAAAGAGCUCGUAGGCGGCUCGUCGCGUCGACCGUGAAAACCCGCGGCUUAACUGCGGGCUUGCGGUUGAUACGGGCGGGCUAGAGUUCGGUAGGGGAGACUGGAAUUCCUGGUGUAGCGGUGAAAUGCGCAGAUAUCAGGAAGAACACCUAUGGCGAAGGCAGCUCUCUGGGACGGUACUGACGCUGAGACGCGAAAGCGUGGGGAGCGAACAGG
rnacentral:rRNA from 1 species